GCCUCCGUGGCGCAACUGGAUAGCGCGGCCGGUUUCUACCCGGCGGGUUGCGGGUUCGAAUCCUGCCGGGGGCG
rnacentral:tRNA from 1 species